rnacentral:rRNA from 1 species
AUACGGAGGGUGCAAGCGUUAUCCGGAUUCAUUGGGUUUAAAGGGUGCGCAGGCGGAAUGAUAAGUCAGUGGUGAAAUCCUACAGCUUAACUGUAGAACUGCCAUUGAUACUGUCAUUCUUGAGUACAGUUGAAGUGGGCGGAAUGUAUCAUGUAGCGGUGAAAUGCAUAGAUAUGAUACAGAACUCCGAUAGCGAAGGCAGCUCACUAAAUUGUAACUGACGCUCAGGCACGAAAGCGUGGGGAGCAAACAGAAUUAGAAACCCUUGUAGUCC